ensembl:lncRNA
GGCAGAGGUUGAUUUAGACCAGCGUGCAGUUGUGUGUGCAGAAGCUAAUGCAAUUAUUGUGAGACAAAUGAAAGAGGACCACCCUGUCUUCCUGCCUCCCGGAUCAGGCUCUGCUCUCUUGUCCACUACCACAGGCUCAGUGUUACCCACAGCAGUUCUUCCCUCUUUGUGAAGAUGUGCUCUGCUAAAGGUGUUCAGUAGACAUUUACAUCAAGAACAGGAAUCUGGUGACCACAUAAGCAAGUGAUGAGAUAGAAUGUUCAAUGGUCAACUGUGCCAGCUUUCAUGAGAGAUCGGCAGCAGUACUUCAUCCCCGAAAGCAGUUGAUCAAAAAUGAAUGUACUGUCAAAAAAAGCUGACAAGAAUAAGGCAUGAUUGUGAAGUGAAGGAUAUUCUUCUCUGCAAGGAUGGGAAGGUGAUGCAUGAACUCAGUGCCGUGUGAGGACACCUCAGUAGUCACUGCUGCUACAGGUCAUCAACAAAGAACAGCCCCUUUUCAAAGUGAUAGAUCUACUGAAAUCAGAUUAUGCCGGAGCAGCCUGGUUGCUUUGAAUGGGUUCAUAAAGGUUUUACUGAUGCCAAGAGCCUUUCAUUGAUCUGACAG